CCCUUAGAUGUUCUGGGCCGCACGUGCGCUACACUGACGAAGUCAGCGAGCAUGUCCUACGCCGACAGGUGCGGGGAAUCUUGUCAAACUUCGUCGUGAUGGGGAUUGAUUAUUGAAAUUCUUGAUCAUCAACGAGGAAUUCCUAGUAAGCGCAAGUCAGCAGCUUGCGUUGAUUACGUCCCUGCCCUUUGUACACACCGCCCGUCGCUACUACCGAUUGAAUGGUUUAGUGAGAUCUUCGGAUUGGCGCCACUGCGGCUCAGCAAUGGGCUCGGUGGAUGCCGAAAAGUUGAUCAAACUUGAUCAUUUAGAGGAAGUAAAAGUCGUAACA
rnacentral:rRNA from 1 species